CUGACACAAUAUCCAUGGGUGAGGCAGGAGUUUGUAGUUCCCCCUCCCUGCUUCUUACCUGGUCAGGGAGGGGGUACUAAAAACUCCUGCCUCACCCAUGGAUAUUGUGUC